rnacentral:lncRNA from 1 species
UAACCCCGGGCCGCAAAAAGGCCGAGGUUUUUGGCCAUUUUGGGCAUCGACCAAUGUCUCAUUCUGUAGUAGUGAGUGUCGAUUUUGCAAAAAAAUUUGGAACUAAACAAGGCCUUAGCUGCAUGAGAUGUGGCACCACAAUCUUAUGUGCUGGUGCAUAAUUACUAUAAAUAUUGUCAUUGCUUUUUAUGUGACUGUUUGCAGAUCCAUAUCACCGUGCGGCAUGGAACGAAGCUCCAAUCUAGAUUAAUUGUUGAUGAAGGUGAUCUCUCAUGU